rnacentral:rRNA from 1 species
AUUGAUCCCGUCGGACCUUACUGCUAUCGAGAUGGGACUAACCCAGGCCAGUCGAACGACCCGGACUAUGGCGGGGAGUGGCGCACUGCUCAGUAACACGUAGCUAACCUAACCUCAAGACGGAAAUAACCCCGGGAAACUGGGGUCAAUGUCCGAUAGAUGUGAAUUCCUGGAAUGGUGUCACAUCCAAACGUCAACACACCAUGUUGUGCGAACGCUUGAGGAUGGGGCUGCGGCCGAUCAGGCUGUUGGUGGGGUAAUGGCCCACCAAACCUUUGACCGGUAUGGGCCAUGAGAGUGGUAGCCCAGAGAUGGACACUGAGACAAGGGUCCAGGCCCUACGGGGCGCAGCCGGUACGAAACCUCCACAAUGCACGCAAGUGCGAUGGGGUUAUCUCGAGUGCUAUCUGAAAAAGGUAGCUUUUCCAUGGUCUAAAUAGCCGUGGGAAUAAGGGGGGGGCAAGACUGGUGUCAGCCGCCGCGGUAACACCAGCCCCCCGAGUGGUAGGGAUGUUUAUUUGGCCUAAAGCGUCCGUAGCCGGCUAAGUAAAUUUCUCGUUAAAUCCAACGUCCUAAGCGUUGGGCUUCGAGAAAGACUGCUUAGCUAGAGGGUGGGAGAGGUCAGCGGUAUUCCUGGGGUAGGGGCGAAAUCCAUUGAACCCAGGAGGACCACCAGUGGCGAAGGCUGCUGACUAGAACACGCCUGACGGUGAGGGACGAAAGCUGGGGUAGCGAAUCGGAUUAGAUACCCGAGUAGUCCCAGCCGUAAACGAUGCAGACUAGGUGUUGGGUUGGCCACGCGCCGACUCAGUGCCACAGGGAAGCCAUUAAGUCUGCCGCCUGGGAAGUACGGCCGCAAGGCUGAAACUUAAAGGAAUUGGCGGGGGAGCACCACCAGGCGUGAAGCCUGCGGUUUAAUUGGAGUCAACGCCGGGAACCUUACCGGGAGCGACAGCAGAGUGAAGGCCAGGCUAAAGGUCUUGCCAGACGAGCUGAGAGGAGGUGCAUGGCCGUCGCCAGUUCGUGCCGUGAGGUGUCCUCUUAAGUGAGGUAACGAACGAGACCCGCGCCGCAUGUUGCUAACAAGUCCUAAAGGGAUGUUGAGCACUCUUGCGGGACCGCAGCCGACAAGGCUGAGGAAGGUGCGGGCAACGGCAGGUCAGUAUGCCCCGAAUCUCCCGGGCCACACGCGGGCUGCAAUGGUAGAGACAGAGGGCUGCAACCCCGAAAGGGGAAGCCAAUCCCUAAACUCUACCUCAGUUGGGAUUGAGGGCUGCAACCCGCCCUCAUGAACAUGGAAUGCCUAGUAACUACCAGUCAUCAUCUGGCGGUGAAUACGUCCCUGCUCCUUGCACACACUGCCCGUCGAACCACCCGAAUGAGGUUGGGGUGAGGCAUGAUCGAAUGUUGGUCGUGUCGAACCUGGGCCUUGUAAGGAGGGUUAAGUCGUAACAAGGUG